GGUCCUACGGGACGCAGCAGUGGGGGAUAUUGCACAAUGGGGGGAACCCUGAUGCAGCGACGCCGCGUGAAGGAAGAAGUAUCUCGGUAUGUAAACUUCUAUCAGCAGGGAAGAAAAUGACGGUACCUGAAGAAGAAGCCCCGGCUAACUACGUGCCAGCAGCCGCGGUAAUACGUAGGGGGCAAGCGUUAUCCGGAUUUACUGGGUGUAAAGGGGGCGCAGACGGCGAUGCAAGCCAGGAGUGAAAGCC
rnacentral:rRNA from 1 species